rnacentral:rRNA from 1 species
ACAGAGGUGGCAAGCGUUGUUCGGAAUUACUGGGCGUAAAGGGCUCGUAGGCGGCCAACUAAGUCCGACGUGAAAUCCCCGGGCUCAACCUGGGAACCGCGCUUGAGACUGGAGUACUAGAGUUCGGGAGAGGAUGGUGGAAUUCCCAGUGUAGAGGUGAAAUUCGUAGAUAUUGGGAAGAACACCGAUGGCGAAGGCGGCAUCCUGGACCGGUAUUGACGCUGAGGCGCGAAAGCCAGGGGAGCAAACGGGA